UACGGAGGGUGCAAGCGUUAUCCGGAUUCACUGGGUUUAAGGGUGCGUAGGUGGCUUUGUAAGUCAGUGGUGAAAGCCCGGAGCUCAACUCCGGAACUGCCAUUGAUACUGCUUAGCUUGAAUCAGGUCGAGGUGGAUGGAAUAAUACAUGUAGCGGUGAAAUGCUUAGAUAUGUAUUAGAACACCGAUUGCGAAGGCAGUUCACCAGGCCUGUAUUGACACUGAGGCACGAAAGCGUGGGGAUCAAACAGG
rnacentral:rRNA from 1 species